AACGCACAUUGCGCCCGCCAGUAUUCUGGCGGGCAUGCCUGUCCGAGCGUCAUUUCAACCCUCGAACCCCUCCGGGGGUCCGGCGUUGGGGAUCGGGAACCCCUAAGACGGGAUCCCGGCCCCGAAAUACAGUGGCGGUCUCGCCGCAGCCUCUCCUGCGCAGUAGUUUGCACAACUCGCACCGGGAGCGCGGCGCGUCCACGUCCGUAAAACACCCAACUUCUGAAAUGUUGACCUCGGAUCAGGUAGGAAUACCCGCUGAACUUAA
rnacentral:misc_RNA from 1 species